GAUGAAUGCCAGGCUGGGAAAACCUGCAGGAGCCUGGCAGUGCCCAGGAGUGCCUGGGUGUUAUGAGAUUGGACAGAGAUCUUGUACCCCAGAUUUGCAGAUUAGCAGAAGUCUCAUGAUCUGCCUCUUUCCUGGUAUGCUGGAGACACUGCUAAAAAUAGAAGUCCAUCCAAACCAGAGGUUAGAUGUGUGUGCACACGGAGUGCUGGGUGUGCACCGAGGCAAAGGAACGUGCAAAAAGGGUGAUGAUAUGUACAAAGUAACUGGAAGGAAGAAAGGCUGGAGGGUUUUAUUCAUGAGAAGGGUCAGUAGUGGUGCUUUAUCAAGUUUCCUUAGCAUAUCUCAAUGUAAGUCAACAUAUUGUGCCUUAUAAUUCUUCCAGGCUCUAAUCUGUAAUUCUCACUUCAAUAAUUUGUCUGUUUUCCCUGCCUGGGUGCUGAUUUCUCCUGAGGCACGUAAUGACCCCUUCCUCUUCACUGUGUUGGGGCUUUU